AUUCCAGCUCCAAUAGCGUAUAUUAAAGUUGUUGCGGUUAAAAAGCUCGUAGUUGGAGUUCUGCCAGGUGGCGCUCGUCCGCCCAAGUGGUGUGUACAGGGCGUGCAUCUGGCCCUUUCAAGGGGAACGUGUCUGCACUUCAUUGUGUGGUGCGAGAUCCUUGACUUUUACUUUGAGGAAAUAAGAGUGUUCCAAGCAGGCUCUCGUCGUGCAUAGCUCAGCAUGGAAUAAUAGCAUUGGACUUCGUCUCUACGCUGUUGGUUGCAAGAAGCGAGGUAAUGAUGAAGAGGGAUAGUUGGGGGCACUCGUAUUCCGUUGUCAGAGGUGAAAUUCUUGGAUUUACGGAAGACGAACUACUGCGAAAGCAUUUACCAAGGAUGUUUUCAUUG
rnacentral:rRNA from 1 species